rnacentral:miRNA from 1 species
GUGCUCCUCGCUCGUUUUAUUU